rnacentral:rRNA from 1 species
GAUGAACGCUGGCGACGUGCCUAAUGCAUGCAAGUCGAACGCAAAUCCUUCGGGACCUGAGUGUCGGAGGGCGGAGGAACACGUAGGUACCUGCCUGGCAGCGGGGCAUGACGGGCCGAAAAGUCCGCUAAACCCGCAUAAGUUCCCUCUAUGGGGUGAAGCAAGCAGCAAUGCGCUGGAAGAGGACGCUGCGGCCGAUCAGAUAGGUGGCGGGGUAAUGGCCCACCAAGUAGGUGACGGGGGCCUGGUCUGAGGGGACGCCCAGGCAGACUGGGACUGCGACACGGCCUCGACUCCUACGCGAGGGAGCAGCAAGGAAUUCUAGGCAAUGGGCGCAAGCCUGACCGCGCAACGUCGGGUGGAGGAGGACGGCUGUCGUGUUGUAAACUCCUUUUGGGGGGGAUGUUUGUGACAGUACCCGUUGAAUAAGCCCCGGCUAACUCCGUG